rnacentral:misc_RNA from 1 species
GUAACGCAGCGGGACAAACGAAACCCAACAUAUAUAGUUGAUCUGAACAGGAAGCGGGGGAAUGGGGUGCAUGAUGAUGAUGGACGGAUUCAUGGGGGGUAACGAUGGGAAUCUGCAGCGAGAGCGGACGCAGAGACCGUCAACUAGAAUCCUUGUGUGUAAUCAGGGAGUUAGGCAGCCGCAGCAACGGCGGGCGCAGCCUCAGCCGCCUUCUCCGGAUCCUCCGCUUUGGCCUCGCCCUCCUCUGCGGCGUCGUCAUUGGUGUUCACUGCGAUCUUGACCGCGAU